CGCCCUUGGCCUAUAAAAGAUUUGAUCACUUCCGGAAUAAAAAAGGCUUGAUCAGAUUCUCUCAACUUCCUUCAAUCUCUUUUUGUCUCCCUGCUGUUUCUAUUUUAUCCCCGUUCUCCUUCCAGGUACACCCCAUGGAUUGAUCCGCGGGACAGAUCAAGUGGUGCCCAGAGUGGGGGCUCCUGGCACAGGGGAGUCAACGAGGGAACCGUUCGAGAAAGCCGGCUAGAAGUAAAAGCAAAUUGAAUCAAGGACCGAGGCCUGCAUGGACGACCACCCGACGGGCCGCCCGAGUCAUGAUGACACAACUCCCUGGAGCCUUAUGCUGCCUACUCAGCCUUCUCCUCAGACCGUACCACGCCCAUGGUGGAUUUAGACCCUGCCAAACAGACUACAACUGCUGACAGCCAUACAUAGAACCCCCUGAGACUGCAGAAGAGGCCCUUUUCAGUCUGGAGGAACACAAGUCAGCCAAAUAGACUGUGAAAAAAUGUUGCUUCUAUGUCAGUCAGUCCAGUGUUGUGCGAGGCAAGCUCCAAGAAAUAGAAAAAUGCCUUCAACAGCGACAACAACAAAUGGCUGCCAACCCCUUCUCCUUGAUGUGGGGGUGGGGACUUUUCCCCUACCUAGUGCCCCUUUUGGGUCCCCUAGCUGCCCUGUUGCUUCUCCUUUCUGUGGGUCCUUAUAUUUUUCAAAGGAUUAUGAUGCUCAUUAAUAACCGGAUAGACACGUUUAUGGCAAAGCCCAAAAUGGGCUUUGCCAUAAACGUGUCUAUCACCAGCUGGAGAUGGCACUAUCACCAGCUGGAGAUGGCAGAUCAACAAACCUACCAGGAAGGAAUUCCCAUGAGUGGCCCAUAUGACGAUGCGGCCUAACUGCCCUGGGGCAAUGGACAGGCAGCCAGAGAUGGGCAACUAGGACAAACAUGUUACUCCAUCGGCUGCCUAAGACAGGCACAGGAUCAACUGCUGUCCUGCACGCCCAUGACAGGUAAGGCCUGGUUGGGUUCAUGUAAUGAGGUUCCAUGACCUAAAACAGGCACUGUCCUCACAGGGCCUGCCAUACUCCUGAUUAAAUAAUAUAGAAAGGGAGGAGAUGUAGGAAGCAGUGCGACAGCCCCAGUGUUGCCUCCCCGCCUCUCUCCUAUGGACACAUAAUGCGUCUGCCUACAUUAACCAUAAUCCUCCCCUACUUAUGUCACAUACCCGGACAUGACGAUGACCCUGUUGUAUUCAUCCCCAUAGCCUCUUCCUGUCCCACCAGCCUGCCCUUGGCCUAUAAAAGAUGUAUCACUUCCUGAAUAAACGAGGCUUGAUCAGA